GCCCCGGUGGCGCAGUCGGUAGCGUGUGAGUCUGAUAAUCUCAAGGUCGUGGGUUCGGGACCCAUCCGAGGCA
rfam:Trichuris trichiura, WGS project CBXK01000000 data, contig: TTRE_1121